UACGUAGGACGCAAGCGUUAUCCGGAGUUACUGGGCGUAAAGCGCGGGCAGGCGGUCUUGCCAGUCUGAUGUGAAAUCUCUCAGCUCAACUGGGAGCAGCCAUUGGAAACUACAAGACUGGAGUCUGACAGAGGUAGGCGGAAUUCCGGGUGGAGUGGUGAAAUGCGUAGAGAUCCGGAGGAACACCAGAGGCGAAGGCGGCCUACUGGGUCAGUACUGACGCUGAGCCGCGAAAGCCAGGGGAGCGAACGGG
rnacentral:rRNA from 1 species